rnacentral:rRNA from 1 species
UAGGAGGCCCGCCUGCCCGGUGACUAUUAGUUUAACGGCCGCGGUAUUAUGACCGUGCAAAGGUAGCGUAAUCACUUGUCCUUUAAAUAGGGACUAGUAUGAAUGGCGAAACGAGGGUGUAACUGUCUCCCCCAUCCGGUCAAUGAAACUGAUCUCCCCGUGCAGAAGCGGGGAUGAACACACAAGACGAGAAGACCCUGUGGAGCUUUAGACCUCUGGAGUAUACCCCUUUUCCCUCAUAUAAAGUUUGGAAACUCUGGGUGUACCCUCCCAAGACUGUCUUUGGUUGGGGCGACCGCGGAGAGAACACUACCCCCCGCGUGGAUGAAGUGAACAACUUUUUAACCUAGAGCUACACCUCUAAGUGUCAGAAUAUAUGGCCUUGAAUGAUCCGACUAUUCGAUCAACGGAACAAGUUACCCCAGGGAUAACAGCGCAAUCCUCUUUCAGAGCCCCUAUCGACAAGAGGGUUUACGACCUCGAUGUUGGAUCAGGACAUCCUAAUGGUGUAGCCGCUAUUAAGGGUUCGUUUGUUCAACG